rnacentral:tRNA from 1 species
AUUUAUAUAGUUUAAAAAAAACAUUAUAUUUUCAUUAUAAAAAUAAUUAUUUAUAUUUAUAAAUU